rnacentral:rRNA from 1 species
AGAGAGAGACAUGCGCGCAUAUCAAUAAGCGGAGGAAAAGAAACUAACUAGGAUUCCCUCAGUAACGGCGAGUGAAGCGGGAAGAGCUCAAAUUUGAAAUCUUAAAGGUUUCCCUUGACGAAUUGUAGUUUAAAGAAGUGUUUUCUGUUGGAGUUUUGGUAAAAGUUCUUUGGAAUAGGACAUCAUAGAGGGUGAGAAUCCCGUAUUUGACCAUUACUUUCCAACUUUGUGAUACACUUUCAAAGAGUCGGAUUGUUUGGGAAUGCAGUCCAAAAUGGGUGGUAAAUUUCAUCCUAAAGCUAAAUAUUGGCGAGAGACCGAUAGCGAACAAGUACCGUGAGGGAAAGAUGAAAAGAACUUUGAAAGGAGAGUUAAACAGUACGUGAAAUUGUCAAAAGGGAAGCGUUUGACACCAGUGUUGUUUUUCUGAAAAUCAAUUAAAGAACUGUUUAUGCUAAGUUGUUUAGACUUUAUCAGCUAACUGUUUAGUUUUGAGCUUUUCUUUAAUGCACUUUUCAGUUAACAAGUCAACAUCAAUUUCUUUUGCUGUAAAAAAGCUUGAGGAAGGUGGCUUGAGAUUCGUCUUAAGUGUUUAUAGCCUCUUGCCUAUGCAGUCGGAGAGAUUGAGGUCUGCAGCGUAGAUCCUUCGGGGCUAAAUGCAUUUGUGCUAAGUUAUAGCCUUUCAUAGACAACUUGUUGACUAUGAUCAGUCAUGUAGCUUACUCGCUUAUGCUAUUUUACCUACGCUUAGGAUGUUGAUGUGAUACUGCGAGCA